rnacentral:rRNA from 1 species
AUUGAACGCUGGCGGCAGGCCUAACACAUGCAAGUCGAACGAGUGGCGGACGGGUGAGUAAUGUCUGGGAAACUGCCUGAUGGAGGGGGAUAACUACGGGAAACGGUAGCUAAUACCGCAUACCAUCGGAUGUUCCCAGAUGGGAUUAGCUAGUAGGUGGGGUAAAGGCUCACCUAGGCGACGAUCCCUAGCUGGUCUGAGAGGAUGACCAGCCACACUGGAAAUGAGACACGGGCCAGACUCCUACGGGAGGCAGCAGUGGGGAAUAUUGCGCAAUGGGCGCAAGCCUGAUACAGCCACGCCGCGUGUAUGAAGAAGGCCUUCGGGUUGUAAAGUACUUUCAGCGGGGAGGCGUUACCCGCAGAAGAAGCACCGGCUAACUCCGUGCCAGCAGCCGCGGUAAUUC